ACCAUACGAUAGACACUUCAAGAGAAAAGUGGUACCAAAACAGUAGUGUAAGUAACCCCAAUGUUUUCACCGCAGCAUCACUGAAUGGCUGACGCUCUGGGAAAAGGAUCCAGUGGAGAUUCUGCUUGAUCUGGGCUUUGGUACAGAAGAACCUGACGUCUGCACUAAAAUCCCUCCUCGGUUCCUCAGUGGUGCUUCUGUAGCGAAAGGGAUCAACAUCCGAGUCUUCUUGGAAGCUCAGAAGCAGCGGAUGGACAUUGAGAGGCCAAACCUAUAUGAUGUUAUGCCAUGGAAAAAAUGACCCUGAAAUUACAGGAGAACGUUUUCGACAGCUGGAAGUACUUGACCAUGUCACGAGUGCACUCUCAUCGUUGCUGACUGGCAUCAAUACCCAGCAGACCAAUCUCCCGGAUACUACAAGAAGCAGACCUGUGGUGACACAAGCGAAGCGGAGAAGAAUAGGACAGUUCCUGAAAAGGGCUUCUCGGCAGACACUGCUGCUGAAACAGGGCUCACUGGCACCUGGGGAAGCCAACUUGCCCAGCAGGAAAGAGCAACCCUGUUCUAGUGCAGAUACUGCUGAGAGGGGAACAGUCCAGGCAUACUCUUCUGCAUGUGUUACAUUGAACUGUCUGACCGGAGGGCAAACUCCCAGAGACAAAGGUGCCUCAGCGUAUCCCACAUUCCAGUGUUCACUGACUCCAUCAGGGAAAGCCUGGGCUCCAUCACACUUAGUUGCAAAACCUCUCCACCUUUCUCCUGCAUCUGAGGUACCUGCAAAAGACAGGCCAAGAAAGGAACCACCUUUGCUUGUAGCCCACACACUUAAAAAAGUGGCCAACCUGAACUGCAAGCUGCCAGACUCAUUUGAAAUGGAAGAGGUGAGGUGUAUUUUGCUAGCAGUGUAUCGCUACCCA
rnacentral:lncRNA from 14 species